GAUGAACGCUGGCGGCGUGCCUAAUACAUGCAAGUCGAGCGAAUGGAUUAAGAGCUUGCUCUUAUGAAGUUAGCGGCGGACGGGUGAGUAACACGUGGGUAACCUGCCCAUAAGACUGGGAUAACUCCGGGAAACCGGGGCUAAUACCGGAUAACAUUUUGAACCGCAUGGUUCGACAUUGAAAGGCGGCUUCGGCUGUCCCUUAUGGAUGGACCCGCGUCGCAUUAGCUAGUGGGUGAGGUAACGGCUCACCAAGGCAACGAUGCGUAGCCGACCUGAGAGGGUGAUCGGCCACACUGGGACUGAGACACGGCCCAGACUCCUACGGGAGGCAGCAGUAGGGAAUCUUCCGCAAUGGACGAAAGUCUGACGGAGCAACGCCGCGUGAGUGAUGAAGGCUUUCGGGUCGUAAAACUCUGUUGUUAGGGAAGAACAAGUGCUAGUUGAAUAAGCUGACACCUUGACGGUACCUAACCAGAAAGCCACGGCUAACUACGUGCCAGCAGCCGCCGUAA
rnacentral:rRNA from 1 species